rnacentral:rRNA from 1 species
GGGCAGCGCGUGCUAACAUGCAGUCGAGCGAACAGAGAAGGAGCUUGCUCCUUUGACGUUAGCGGCGGACGGGUGAGUAACACGUGGGCAACCUACCCUAUAGUUUGGGAUAACUCCGGGAAACCGGGGCUAAUACCGAAUAAUCUAUGUCACCUCAUGGUGACAUACUGAAAGACGGCAUCUCGCUGUCGCUAUAGGAUGGGCCCGCGGCGCAUUAGCUAGUUGGUGAGGUAAUGGCUCACCAAGGCGACAAUGCGUAGCCGACCUGAGAGGGUGAUCGGCCACACUGGGACUGAGACACGGCCCAGACUCCUACGGGAGGCAGCAGUAGGGAAUCUUCCACAAUGGGCGAAAGCCUGAUGGAGCAACGCCGCGUGAGUGAAGAAGGUUUUCGGAUCGUAAAACUCUGUUGUAAGGGAAGAACAAGUACAGUAGUAACUGGCUGUACCUUGACGGUACCUUAUUAGAAAGCCACGGCUAACUACGUGCCAGCAGCCGCGGUAAUACGUAGGUGGCAAGCGUUGUCCGGAAUUAUUGGGCGUAAAGCGCGCGCAGGCGGUCCUUUAAGUCUGAUGUGAAAGCCCACGGCUCAACCGUGGAGGGUCAUUGGAAACUGGGGGACUUGAGUGCAGAAGAGGAAAGUGGAAUUCCAAGUGUAGCGGUGAAAUGCGUAGAGAUUUGGAGGAACACCAGUGGCGAAGGCGACUUUCUGGUCUGUAACUGACGCUGAGGCGCGAAAGCGUGGGGGAAAAAAAAGGGAAAAAAAAAGUGGGCGAG